UACGGAGGGUGCAAGCGUUAUCCGGAUUCACUGGGUUUAAAGGGUGCGUAGGUGGGCAGGUAAGUCAGUGGUGAAAUCUCCGGGCUUAACCCGGAACUGCCGUUGAUACUAUUUGUCUUGAAUGUCGUGGAGGUGAGCGGAAUAUGUCAUGUAGCGGUGAAAUGCUUAGAGAUGACAUAGAACACCAAUUGCGAAGGCAGCUCACUACCCGAAUAUUGACUCUGAGGCACGAAAGCGUGGGGAUCAAACAGGAUUAGAACCUACGAGUCAGA
rnacentral:rRNA from 1 species